rnacentral:lncRNA from 1 species
AAAGGAUUUGAUGAGAUGGACUUUGAAUUGUUACCUAUUUUGGGCACUUCUGUCUUGGUUGAAAGAGGGUUGUCCGCUGCUUGCGCGUAGGAACCUCGUUGUACUGCAAGGGUAUUUUUGUCAUUUUUGUCCAAAAAUCCACGUGUCGCCCUAUGAAUAUUUUUGGCUCCACAAAUGCCCCCACACCUGUUGGGCUGCUCGCAGAAAAGGGCAGCAGGUGUAGAGAUCUUCUUGCUUUAGGAAACUUAGGACUGCUUCCUAUUUUGAUGUAGAUUCUCUCUUUAAUAGGAAAUUAGAUCCUUCUAGGAAAGGGAAAUAAAUUUCUCUCAAAGCCUAUUUAAAUCCACCUUAAGUGGGUUAUUAAAUCAACUUUGGAGAGCGAUUUAUUCUACCCUACAAGAGAGAGAUAGCUUAGAGGAUAUUUGUUCCCCCUCCUCUAGCAAUCUUCUACAUCUUGCCCGUGCAAAGGACCGUCUUUCGUUGAUUUCUUCGUCUUCUUCGUGGAUAGUGCUACCGCGGGGCAGCCGUCGGGGUGGUGCGGCACGUCGGCUGGCAUGGGCCAGGAGUCGACUCGGCAUGGGCCGAUGAGGUAUUGUGGCAGGGACCACUGCUUUAAGCUGCUCGACUUGGCUAGAACCAAGGGCAGCUUGUGUGGCUGGGACCUCGGAUUGUGGCACUGGGGCGCAGUGUUAGGCAAGUCACAUGGCUCAUGUCUUUUUAGGCUUUUGGACAUGACUCGAGCUAGGCUGGUGAUUGAGAGAAAUGAAGAGGUUGCGAACCUCAUGAACUGCUGGAAUGUUGGGUUGAACUUCCCUGCUAGGUACCACGAAUGACGUUGGCUACUUUAACUCUUUUCGUCAGGAGAAACGUGGGCUAUUCCCAAAAGAUGAGGGGAAUAGGAUCAAAGCGGAUGCUCUGGCUCGUCCAAUCACUGUUGUGGAUCAUGCUGCAAGUGAAGGUGGGAAAAUGGAUCUUCUCUGCUCGCUCAAGAGAUGCCGGCUGAGAAAAAACCAAAGACUUAUUUCGUUGCUCAUGAGGGUUCGCUUGCUACCAAGAGGUAUGUGAUUGACAUGACUUCUUCCAAUGGGAAGAAAUGUAAGGCUGCUAGAUAUGAGCAUGUGGCGUCUUCCAUGUUGAGAAUGGAUAGUACAAUUGUGGAUAAGAUUACUCAGCGUAAAGGUUUUAUCAUGCCCCCAGUGCCGAAGUCUGUACCAGGACGUUCUUUGGGAGCCAAGUCCGGUUCACCUUUGUAGAGACUUGCUAUUAUGAAGAGUGGUAAGGUGGACUCUGCUGCUAAAGUGGCGCCAAAGCCUGCUCCCUUUGCUGCUGAGAUUGAUUCGCCUCAGAUUCAAGAUCUUAAGCUUGCAAUUUCUGAGCUUCGUUUCGCUACUUAUGCUAAGAAGAGAGUGGAUGAGCUGCAGCGCGUCCGUGUUAGUUUGCUUAAGAAGAAUGAGAAACUGAAGGGUGAGAAGGAUGGGCUUGAGGUUUUAAGACCUUCUCUAAUUCUCCGGAAGACUUGCUUGCUUUUACUUUUAAAGCUUCCAUUGGUGAAGUAGUUGGAGAAGUUAGUGCCCAGACUGGGGCAGCCAGGGGUGAAGCGUCGGAUGAUGCCGCUGCUAAGAGCGUUACGGUUGUUGAAGGUGUGGCGACCGAGUAGUCGUGGGAUGUCCAAGCUGCUGUAGUGUAGUAUUUUAGGUAGCCUUUAGGAUUUUCUUUAUUUUUCCUUGUAGCUUUUGUUUUGCUUGAACUCCUUCGGCCUUUGCUAGUUGUUUAUAAACAUGUUUUCCUUCGUUUUUCUUCAUCUUCACUUCUUUUGUUCAUGCCCUAACCUUUAGACUUGAUAGACAAGUGGCAGGCAUGCUACUUUUUUAUAAGCAGACAAACUCGCGUAGCCUAUGCAGCCGUAGGUGUUGGUGUAGAACUUUGCAAAGUUGUUAGCCAUAGGGUUGGCAGCCGGAUGCCUUACUUACAGAAGCAGACAAGUCCGCGUAACCACUAGGCUGUUAACCUUGACUUUCUUCAAUUCCGUAGGUUGCGUAGCAAGUAUCACAACACUUUAGGACUUGGUGUAGGUUGUUCCGCGCUUGGCAGAGGUGAAGCUUAUCGACUACGUAGCAUGUCGGCAAUGGAUAAAACUUCGUAUAUGCGCGCUAGCUUGUUUAACCUUUCACAAGAAUGUGCGGUUGUAUAAGUCUAGUGUGGCUUCACUGCUCGAAGGGCAAGCCGUAGGCAAUCUUCCGGAAUCCGUAGGCUACCUUAGUGCACUCGGUAGCAGCUUUAGGAUUCCAGGGCAGUCGUCCAUCGGAUGUACUGCGUAAUGUGCCAUCUCCGUCUCUAGGGCCCGGUUCCCCACGGAUUAGGCCAAGAGACCCAAAAUCCUUCAGUUAGCUAAGCCUUGAAAAAGACCAUUGCGGCUACUUCUAGGAAUCCCGGCGCAAGCCAUCGUGCAUCUAGUUAUACUAGGGCAGCCAGGCUCAUCCACGUCUGGAUAUUCGGAGUGUAAAGUUUAUCCUCCCGUCUUGGAGAGCUGACCCAUAUGGGUGUCGGAGAAUUGGUUUACCCUCUCGCACUGGAGAGCAUGGUUGGUCCCUCGGGGGCGCAAUUCCUGCGAUGAGUCCCUAAGAAGGGCGCAGUCUUCUUUUGAAGUGCAGGAGUGAUUAGUUGUUGUAAGCAUGCAACCAAGCCAAGUUGUGAUUACUUCUAAAUUCCUCAUUGAAAAACGAGUGAAACGAACAAGAACUUUAGUUGUAAGGUAGGAACUGCAUAACAACCGGAUAGUCCUCAGCUUGUGAGGUGGUGCCCGUCGAGCUUAUUGAGUCUUCGGGUUUUGAUGUAGCGGGAGGUCACGCAUGGUACUUCUUCAGAUUGUAGGCCAUCCAUUUCUUUUCAAUCUUUUUGCCGCUUCAUGGUGGUGAGGGUGUAAUUACUCUUGCCCCCUACUCUGCUGAUCUUGUACGGACCUUCCCAGAUGGGAUCCAUCUUUUUUGAGCCUUCUCUGCCGGCAGUGAUGAAGGCUUUUCUGCGUCGUCGACAUGCAAAUGCCAGAAGUCUCCAUCGGGUGGAGUAGGCACAGCUAGAGUGUGCUCGGCUACUUCUGAGGCAUCGUUGGGCCGAGUUGUUGCGUUCGUCAGAAAACUUUACAUCUGCCAGGGUCUACGCCUUUAUCGUCGCCGGUUUGGAUUCGGCGGAAUAGUGCGUCAUGAUGAUGACUGCAGGUAACUGUAGAAUACAGGUAGUCGGGCCCCCAGCUCUUCUCGCAUGAUGGUAGAGCUUAUUGCUACUUUAGAUACCGUCAAACAUGCGAAUAAGUCCUCCGCUGCUUCUAGGGAGGUGAUGUCGGGUACUUCUUCAAGUCCUUGAAUGUGCAUUGGCGAGCCUCAUCCCAAAGUGCAUGUUUCUCUGCUAAAGCAAAAGAGUCUGCCAGAGUUAGAUCUUCUUUCAUGAUCAAUUUUCCGAAUAGCGGGUGGUCUGCUGGAAGUCCUUUUUGGAAAGCUGCUCUAGCUAUCGAGUCAUUGCAUCCGACUAUUUUUGCCUUCUCUACUUUGAACCUCCUCACGUAAUCGCGAAGCGACUCUUUUGGGUUUUUCUUUACGUUGAACAGGUGAUCGGACUUCUUAUUGAUCGAUCGAUAAGAUGAGUAUUCUUUGGUGAAAACCAAGGAAAGAUCAUCAAAAUUCUGGAUGGAUCGUGCCGGCAAGGUAUGAAACCAAUCUUGUGCCUCGCCUUGUAAAGUAGUGGCGAAUAUUUUGCACAUAAAGGCGUCAUUAUUCCGAUAAAGGACCAUCGCACUUCGGUAAUGCUUCAAGUGUCUUUCCGGGUCUUCAUCCCUUUUAAAAGAUGUGAAAUGUGGCAUGCUGAAAUCGCGUGGAGGCUCUGCCUGCUCAAUCUCCUCCGUGAAGGGUGACCUGCUUAUGUUGGUUAUGUUCCGUCGUAGUGCCUCGUCGGUGACCUCGUUGCGUUGGAAAUCAUGCAAUCGCUUGGUCAAGAGUCUCUCUACUUCUUCCUGAAUUUGCCUUUGUUGGGGUAGCGGAGCUCUCGGCUGCCCCCAGUCAUGACUUGCUGGUCUAGGCUACUCUUCCAUGUGUUUAGCUCGUCUAUGCCGCGGAUGCAGUGCAUGUGAUGCGUUCCUAGUAGGCGAGCGAGUUCUUCGCAUGCUGCUGGUUGAACUUGAGCUAGAUUGAGUGACUGCUUCUCUCCGUCCGUCGUGCUGCCUACUCUGAUGUGAGGUGGAUGACACUCCUUGUGGGCUUAGCUGCGAAUAGACACUUUGCCCGGAAGGUUGUUCAUGUUGACUAUCGGAGUAUAACCCCAACCGUGAAUGUAUGCUCCUCCGUGGGCCUAGUCGAGAGUGCAUGCUCCUUCGCGCUCUAAGACGGGAAUGUACACUGCCCAAACGUUCGGCUCGUGGCUGCUUGCCGGGAUGCUGCUGGAAAUGUCCGUCUGCCCUUGUCCUACUUCGGGAUACCUCGUCCGGGGCACGUUGGAUCCCAAUGUGUUGCAAAAGUUGAUUCACCAAGGUUGUCUGUUGUGCAAGGGCGCUCGUCAACUCUAUGACUUGUCGAGACAAGUGUUGUUCGCCAUUUGGAUUGGAAGAGCUUGGAAGGAAUGUGCCUCCUUGGGUAGUGAAAUGGUGGUAGACUUCGGGCGCGAGAUUUGAGUUGGGAAAUGUCAAACCCGCGAAAAAAUGUGGUGAGAAUGCCCCCGGUUCGAUGGUAGGUCCGGAUGGUUGAGAUAGUCUUGGGCCGACUUGGGCUGCUUGGAAAGCCACUGGAGCAGGAUAGGCAGUGAGAGUGGGCUGCUCGUCGGGAGCAGGCUGGGUCACGGGAAUGGGCUGCUCGACGGAAGCAGGUUGGGCCACGGGAGUCGGCUGCUUGACGGAAGCAGGCUAGACCACGAGAGUGGGCUGCUCGUCGGGAGCAGGUUGGGUCACGAGAACAGGCUGCUUGGCAGGAGCAGGAUGGGCCACGGGAGUGGGCUGCUUGAUGGAAGCAGGCUGAACCACGGGAGUGGGCUGCUCAUCGGCAGCAGGCUGGGUCACGAGAGCAAGCUGCUUGGCAGGAGCAAGCUGGGCCGCGAUAGCAAGUUGCUUGGCGGGAGCAGGCUGGGCCACGGGAUUGGGCUGCUCGACGGAAGCAGGCUGGACCACGAGAGUGGGCUGCUCGUCGGGAGCAGGCUGGACCACCGGAGUGGGCUGCUCGUCGGGAGCAGGCUGAGUCACGAGAGCAGGCUGGGCCACGGGAGUGGGCUGCUCGACGGAAACAGGCUGCUCAAUGCACGGUGCAUGUGAAUGCGAGGCUUGGACUUAGGUCCAUGUAAACUUGGAUGACACGGCUUGGGUCGUGGUCUUAGUACCGUGAGCCUUGGAUGGCACGACUCGGGCCGUGGUGAAGGCUCCAUGGACCUCGCCACAAGUGGCUACCGAAGUAGCCACCGCGGUGGUUCCCAUGGUGGCCGUGGUGAAGGCACCAUGGACCUCGCUGCGGGUGGCUACCGAGGUAGCCACCACGGUGGUUCCCAUUGUAGAAGCUUGUGGUGAUGAUGCCGCUCCCCUUAUUGUCGCAUUUUGCCUCACGGAUCUCCGGGCCGUGGUGAAGGCUCCAUGGACCUCGCCACGAGUGGCUACCGAAGUAGCCACCGCGGUGGUUCCCAUGGUGGCCGUGGUGAAAGCACCAUGGACCUCGCCGCGGGUGGCUACCGAGGUAGCCACCACGGUGGUUCCCAUGGUGGAAGCUCGUGAUGAUGAUGCCGCUCCCCUUAUUGUCGCAUUUAGCCUCACGAAUCUCCGCAAUCCCAUUUCUUGAACAUUAGAAUUUUCACUCGUGGAAUUUUCUAAAUUUCUAGCCAUUAUAUUUUGCUUAUACGUUUUAUCAAAGAACCUUUGCAAAUAAAAAAUUCUAAUAAUAAGAACGUAUGAAAAAUAUUCAAAUGGACUAGAAAAUAAAGAAAAAACCUUUUUUGUGCGAGAGUCUUCUACGAGUAUGGAUUUCAACUCUCAAUGAAAGCACCAAUUUGUGGAUGCAAAUUUUCUCCUCUUCGAUCUUGGACGAUUUUGCACCUACAAAACAACUAGCACCUUAGGUUAAGGCCAAGAGCCUCACGCGCCCACGAUGAAUGGGGGGCUUUGGCCGAAGAACCUCUGAUGCCAAAGUUAGAAUUUAGAGAGAAAGAGUGUUUAGAGAAUUUUGGGAUUUUGGGAUUUUUGCCAAAGUGUUGGAAUUUUUUUGCUUUUUGGUGAGAAUGGGAGUAUAUUUAUAGGGAUAGGAGGUGGCUAGGGUUUUUAGGUUUAAUUUAGGUUUAAUUAGCCAAUUUAUUUGGCUAUUAAACAUAAGAUGAAUGUUUUGGUGGUUUUUGAAUUUAUUGGGUAAUAAAAAGGAAGAAAUGGUGAAAAAGGUAGAAAAAUGUGAUGGAUUAGGUUUUGAAAUGGGGAUAGCCUGCCAUGUGGUGUUUUAAGGUUGAAUUGGAUGUAUUUUGUAGUUAUUUGGAUAUAAUGGAUGGUUUAAUUGACAAUUAAUGGGUUAAUUAGGCAAUAAACCCAUUAAUUAGCCAAUUAACAUAAUUUAAAAGGAAUGUGUUUGGGAAUUACCUUGUAGAAAGGAUUUGAUGAGAUGGAUUUUGAAUUGUUACCUAUUUUGGGCACUUCUGUCUUGGUUGAAAGAGGGUUGCCCGCUGCUUGCGCGUAGGAACCUCGUUGUACUGCAAGGGUAUUUUUGUCAUUUUUGUCCAAAAAUCCACGUGUCGCCCUAUGAAUAUUUUUGGCUCCACAACCUUGAUAAAUAUGGCAUACUCCUAUAUAUGUUUCCUUUUUGGGUUAACUAGUUCUUGAUUGUCAUUUAUUUAUCAAAUAAAUUU